GACGAACGCUGGCGGCGUGCCUAAUGCAUGCAAGUCGGACGCACUGCCUUCGGGCAGUGAGUGGCGCACGGCUGAGGACCACGUGGGUACCUGCCCUCUCGUGGGGGAUAACACCGCGAAAGCGGUGCUAAGCCCGCAUACGCUCGCCUUUCGAGGUGAGGAAAACAGUAAUGUGCGGGAGGAGGGGCCUGCGGCCCAUCAGGUAGUCGGCGGGGUAACGGCCCACCGAGCCGAUGAUGGGUAGCUGGUCUGUGAGGACAGACAGCCAGACUGGGACUGAGACACGGCCCAGACUCCUACGGGAGGGAGCAGCAAGGAAUUUUCCCCAAUGGGCGCAAGCCUGAGGGAGCAACGCCGCGUGGAGGACGACGGCCUUCGGGUUGUAAACUCCUUUUCGGAGGGAAGAGAUGGACGGUACCUCCGGAAUCAGCCCCGGCUAACUCUGUGCCAGCCGCCGCCGUAAAAC
rnacentral:rRNA from 1 species